rnacentral:rRNA from 1 species
GACGAACGCUGGCGGCACGCCUAAUACAUGCAAGUCGAACGGACUUACGAGAGCUUGCUUUUUUAGGUUAGUGGCGGACGGGUGAGUAUCACGUGUGCAACAUGCCUCUGAGAGGGGGAUAGCUUUUGGAAACGGAUGGUAAUAUACCAUAUAAUAUAAAUAUCGGCUGAUAGAUAUAUCAAAGAAAUUCGCUCAGAGAUGGUCUCGCGUCUGAUGCGAUAGUUGGUGAGGUAACGGCUCAACAAGUCGACGAACAGUAGACGGACUCAGAGGUUGAACGGCCACAUUGAGACUGAGACACGGCAGAGACUCCUACGGGAGGCAGCAAUGCCGAAUAUUGCACAAUGGAGGGAGCGAUGAUGCAGCGAUGCCGCGUAGAGGAAGAAGGUUUUCAGAUUGUAAACUCCUAUUAUCAGGGACGAUAAUGACGGUACCUAAAGAAAAAGCUACGGCUAACUACGUG